GAUGAAGAACGCAGCGAAAUGCGAUAAGUAAUGUGAAUUGCAGAAUUCAGUGAAUCAUCGAAUCUUUGAACGCACCUUGCACUCCUUGGUAUUCCAUGGGGCAUGCCUGUUCGAGCGUCAUUUGUACCCUCAAGCUUUGCUUGGUGUUGGGUGUUUGUCCCGCGUUGCGCGUGGACUCGCCUUAAAGCGAUUGGCAGCCGGCAUAUUGGCCUUGGAGCGCAGCACAUUUUGCGCUUCUAGUCAUGAAUGUUGGCGUCCAUUAAGCCUAUACAUUUGCUCUUGACCUCGGAUCAGGUAGGGAUACCCGCUGAACUUAAGCAUAUCAAUAAGCGGAGGA
rnacentral:misc_RNA from 1 species